rnacentral:rRNA from 1 species
GACGAACGCUGGCGGCGUGCCUAAUACAUGCAAGUAGAACGCUGAAGGAGGAGCUUGCUUCUCUGGAUGAGUUGCGAACGGGUGAGUAACGCGUAGGUAACCUGCCUGGGAGCGUGGGAUAACUAUUGGAAACGAUAGCUAAUACCGCAUAAGAGAAGAGGUUGCAUGACAUUGGCUUAAAAGGUGCAUUUGCAUCGCUACCAGAUGGAGCUGCGUUGUAUUAGCGUGUGGGUGUGGUACCGGCUUACCAAGGCGACGAUACAUAGCCGAACGGCGACGGGGGUCGGCCAGCCUGGGAGUGAGACAGGGCACACACGGCUACGGGAGGCAGCAGUACGGAAUCUUCAGCAAGGGACGGAAGUCUGAGCGAGCAACGCGGAGUGAGUGAAGAAGGUCUUCGGGUCGUAAAGCACUGUUGUAAGAGAAGAACGCGUGUGCGACUGGAAAGUUCACAAUGUGACGGUAUCUUAACAGAAAGCGACGGCUAACUACGUG